GACGUAGGGCGCAAGCGUUGUCCGGAAUUAUUGGGCGUAAAGAGCUCGUAGGCGGCUUGUUGCGUCGACUGUGAAAACCCGUGGCUCAACCAUGUGGUCUGCAGUCGAUACGGGCAGGCUAGAAUUCGGUAGGGGAGACUGGAAUUCCUGGUGUAGCGGUGAAAUGCGCAGAUAUCAGGAGGAACACCGGUGGCGAAGGCAGGUCUCUGGGCAUUAACUGACGCUGAGGAGCGAAAAGCAUGGGGGAGCGAACAGG
rnacentral:rRNA from 1 species